CCCGAAGUAUCCUGAAUCUUUCGCAUUGUUAAUCAUACAAGUGCAUAUAAUAAACACAAAAAUCAAUGAUAAUCAUGCCAUUAUAUAAUUCCGAAAAAUUAACGCACUGUAUUCAUAUAAAUCUAUCAGCACUUUAUCAAAUUAAAGACAUUUAUUUUGUGUUAAAAUGCAAGCACCUUAAUUUAAAUAAACAUUUAUCUAAAAUUUUUUGAUAAAUUACUUUUAACUAAUAGAUUACAAUGUCCUUAUAUGGAAAAAAUGCACACUAUUUUUAUAAUAUUGUUUAAAUAUUACAAGUCUAAUGAUGAAUUUUCCAUAACGGAUAUUCAGGUUCAUCGGGC
rnacentral:rRNA from 1 species